GGCUUAGAGUUUGAUCAUGGCUCAGGAUGAACGCUGGCGGCGUGCCUAACACAUGCAAGUCGAGCGAAGCGAUUCGAAUGAAGUUUUCGGAUGGAUUUUGGAUUGACUGAGCGGCGGACGGGUGAGUAACGCGUGGGUAACCUGCCUCACACAGGGGGAUAACAGCUAGAAAUGGCUGCUAAUACCGCAUAAGCGCACAGUGCCGCAUGGCACAGUGUGAAAAACUCCGGUGGUGUGAGAUGGACCCGCGUCUGAUUAGGUAGUUGGUAAGGUAACGGCUUACCAAGCCGACGAUCAGUAGCCGGCCUGAGAGGGUGGACGGCCACAUUGGGACUGAGACACGGCCCAGACUCCUACGGGAGGCAGCAGUGGGGAAUAUUGCACAAUGGGGGAAACCCUGAUGCAGCGACGCCGCGUGAAGGAAGAAGUAUCUCGGUAUGUAAACUUCUAUCAGCAGGGAAGAAAAUGACGGUACCUGACUAAGAAGCCCCGGCUAACUACGUGCCAGCAGCCGCGGUAAUACGUAGGGGGCAAGCGUUAUCCGGAUUUACUGGGUGUAAAGGGAGCGUAGACGGAUGGGCAAGUCUGGAGUGAAAGCCCGGGGCUCAACCCCGGGACUGCUUUGGAAACUGUCCGUCUUGAGUGCCGGAGAGGUAAGCG
rnacentral:rRNA from 1 species